CGCGUAGGUGGUUUGUUAAGUUGGAUGUGAAAGCCCCGGGCUCAACCUGGGAACUGCAUCCGAAACUGGCAAGCUAGAGUACGGUAGAGGGUGGUGGAAUUUCCUGUGUAGCGGUGAAAUGCGUAGAUAUAGGAAGGAACACCAGUGGCGAAGGCGACCACCUGGACUGAUACUGACACUGAGGUGCGAAAGCGUGGGGAGCAAACA
rnacentral:rRNA from 1 species